rfam:Cajanus cajan Scaffold135549_18, whole genome shotgun sequence.
CCGACCUUAGCUCAGUUGGUAGAGCGGAGGACUGUAGUUGGAUAACAGACAUCCUUAGGUCGCUGGUUCGAAUCCGGCAGGUCGGA